rnacentral:lncRNA from 1 species
CCCCCCGCCGCCACGGCCCCGGCGGACACCUGGCGGGCGCUGCGGACACAGCGCGGGGAAGGACUCGCUGCGUGGGGCGGGCGCCGCGGAGCAGCGCUUGGCGUUCCCGAGCCGCAGCCGAACUUUUUCCAAAGGAGUCGCACAUUUGGGGGCAGGAGGAACCCAGCGGGGAGGGGAGAGCAGAGUUCCUGGAAGGAGAGAGCCGCAGCCCCACAACAUGGCCUCCUCCUCCUCCUCUCCUGCUGGCGCCGGGAGCACCCCUCCUGCGCAGGAUGACUUUGGAUCCUACUAUUCACGAAGCUCUAGAAAGGAUAUAAGGAAACAGGGCAUCUUUACUGUCCCUAUGUCCACAGCGGCCAAGAGACUGAGCAGUUCCUGGCACCCAGAAAGAAGUUCCAAUGACUAUGGAGAUGGCCUGAGAGGAGCUCUGCCUUCAGAGAGGAGUGCAGCCCACAUGCCCCACAGGGAGGGAACCAGAGGAAUAAAUCAUCCUACUCAUUCUCCUUCUCCCUCUGGUCUGCUGCUGGUGCUCUCCAUUGGCCAACUGGAAGGCAGAGGCCCAUGGAUGAUCCAUACACCCUCCCCGGGCCCAGAGCUGUGUGGAGAAGGAUGGAAAAUGCAUUUGCAGGGGCAAGGGAAGAGAUCUGGCUCAGGGGUCACAGUAGGGUUUGAGCAGGAGAAGGAUUUGACAAGUGUAUUGUUUUAUGAGAUGAGCUUGUGAACGGCAAAUAGAAUUAGGUAGGGUAGAAACUGGAAGCAGAGAGAAUCAUUCAGAAUUUGUUUCAGGACCCUUUCAUUAGGAUGGGGACAGUGGGAAUUUAGAGGAAAGUGCUAAAACCUGUAGAAUUUUAAAGGAGGAAAUAAGAGAAUUAACAUUUUUUCUAAUUACAUUCUUAUUAAAGAUAUUAGACAUGUUCUAAUAUAUCUAAUAUUUAAGCAAAUCCAAUAUACAAAAGUACAUUUUUGAAAACAGUAAGUUAAAAAACUUAUUUACAUAAAGGAAAACAAAAAAGAAUCUGUAUCAUGUAAAUGGUUUCACUUUAAAUAUGGAAUUUUCCUGAUUGAAAAAAUGUAGCUGUUUAAAUGUAUUCUCUAAACUCUUAUUAGCAUUCCUAACACUGAAGUGAGCACACAAAUAAAGGAAAAUAGUAACAUUUUAAAUCACCUCUUCUUUUAUAGAUUCCUAAUGAGUGGACCAGGAGACUAGAAACGCAAAACUUAUAUCAAGAAACUAAUUUAUUGAUACCUACUUUUUUUCUUUCAAAACUAUGUUAUCAAGUCUUUCAUAACCACACAUUCUGUAAAACAACAUUAACUUACUCACUAUCAUAGUUUCUACAUUUUAUCUAAAAGGAUAAGACUUGUAUUUUAUGUGUAGAAAAGUUACAUUUAUAGCAGGC